rnacentral:snRNA from 1 species
GUGCUUGUUUUGGAAGCACAUAUAAUAAAAUUGGAAUGACACCGAGAAGAUUAGCAUGGUCCCUGUGCAAGGAUAUCAUGCAAAUUUGCAAAGCAUUACAUAUUUUA